GACGAACGCUGGCGGCGUGCUUAACACAUGCAAGUCGAACGGAGUGGAGAACGGGUGAGUAACACGUGGGUGAUCUGACUUGCACUUAGGGAUAAGCUUCGGAAACUGGGAAUCAUACCGGAUAGUGCAAGAUGAGCUCGCGGCCUAUGAGCUUGUUGGUGGGGUAAUGGCCUACCACGGCGUCGACGGGUAGCCGGCCUGGGAGGGUGUACGGCCACAUUGGGACUGAGGUACGGCCCAGACUCGUACGGGAGGCAGCAGUGGGGAAUAUUGCACAAUUGGCGGAAGCCUGAUGCAGCGACGCCGCGUGGGGGAUGAAGGCCUUCGGGUUGUAAACUCCUUGCGACAGUGACGCGGUACCUGUAUAAGAAGCACCGGCGAACUACGUGCCAGCAGCCGCGGUAAUUC
rnacentral:rRNA from 1 species